GACAGAGGGUGCAAACGUUGUUCGGAAUCAUUGGGCGUAAAGCGCACGUAGGUGGUUUGUUAAGUCGGGUGUGAAAGCCCUGGGCUCAACCCAGGAAGUGCACUCGAAACUGGCAGACUUGAGUACUGAAGAGGGUCGCGGAAUUCCCGGUGUAGAGGUGAAAUUCGUAGAUAUCGGGAGGAACACCAGUGGCGAAGGCGGCGACCUGGGCAGAUACUGACACUGAGGUGCGAAAGCGUGGGGAGCAAACAGG
rnacentral:rRNA from 1 species